ACGGGAGGCAGCAGUGGGGAAUAUUGGGCAAUGGGCGAAAGCCUGACCCAGCGACGCCGCGUGAGGGAAGAAGGUCUUCGGAUUGUAAACCUCUUUCAGCAGGGAAGAAGCAAGUGACGGUACCUGCAGAAGAAGUCACGGCUAACUACGUGCCAGCAGCCGCGGUAAUACGUAGGUGGCGAGCGUUAUCCGGAAUUACUGGGUGUAAAGGGCGUGUAGGCGGAGCUGCAAGUCAGAUGUGAAAUCCCGGGGCUCAACCCCGGAACUGCAUUUGAAACUGUAGCCCUUGAGUAUCGGAGAGGCAAGCGGAAUUCCUAGUGUAGCGGUGAAAUGCGUAGAUAUUAGGAGGAACACCAGUGGCGAAGGCGGCUUGCUGGACGACAACUGACGCUGAGGCGCGAAAGCGUGGGGAGCAAACAGGAUUAGAUACCCUGGUA
rnacentral:rRNA from 2 species